rnacentral:rRNA from 1 species
CCUACGGGCGGCAGCAGUGGGGAAUAUUGCACAAUGGGGGAAACCCUGAUGCAGCGACGCCGCGUGAGUGAAGAAGUAAUUCGUUAUGUAAAGCUCUAUCAGCAGGGAAGAAAAUGACGGUACCUGAGUAAGAAGCCCCGGCUAACUACGUGCCAGCAGCCGCGGUAAUACGUAGGGUGCAAGCGUUAUCCGGAUUUACUGGGGGUAAAGGGAGCGUAGAUGGCAGUGCAAGUCUGGCGUGAAAGGCGGGGGCUCAACCCCCGGACUGCUCUGGAAACUGGACGGCUGGAGUGCGGGAGAGGUAAGUGGAAUUCCUAGUGUAGCGGUGAAAUGCGUAGAUAUUAGGAGGAACACCAGUGGCGAAGGCGGCUUACUGGACUGUAACUGACGUUGAGGCGCGAAAGCGUGGGGAGCAAACAGGAUUAGAUACCCCUGUAGUC